CAGCAAGGUGGCACGUCUUUAGCGAGAAAGAGUUGUCUCUUUUAAUUAAUAGACCUGGGGAAUCAAGGAGGGAAUUCAGCUUUAGUACAAUACAGGAUGAUCACAUCUUCUGGACCCACCGUUUACCCCUACCGUUACUGCAACCACCAACCCUUGUGCAAAGGUCAAGUUACAACUCCUCACCUCAGCUCUGCCAGCUUACUGAAGUAAAAAAGACUGAAUCUCCAAACACAGCUGGUCAGUAAGAGCUGAUCGUUCCACCUCUGCCUGAUGACUGCUCUGCUUCCCACUUUCACUGCCUCUCCCCACAAGGAGGCAGCUAACAGUAGCGAAAUCCCCAUGUUGUGCCUGCUUCAUCAAUGAAAUAAAUAUUUGACAACGU